UAGUAUUUGUCCUUUCUAAUUCAUCUCUCUUAUUCAAUCCACCUCUCUCUCUCUACAUUUUCGCCGACAAGAAUCGUCAAACAAGGAAAGAAUAUGUAAAGGUGUUUUUGUCGUCUUUUUUUUGCACUUCAAAACUCCACCAGUAUUUAAUAAUCGCUAACCAAUACUACCAAUAAUAAUAUACCGUAACCAUUUACUAUCACCACUACCAUGACGACGACUAUCACCACCACCACUACUACUACUACUACUACUACUACUACUACUACUACUGCUGCUGCUGCCGUCAACACCAUUGCCAACUGUGCAAGCAAACUUUCAAACUAGUUGACAGUAAAGAAACUAUAUAUAUAAAAUAAAAAGAAGGCAAAUAAUGAAUGAAUGAAAGCGAAAUAGACAGAGAAAAGAAAGAAAGAAAGACGAAUUAACCUUCUCCGCCCUCAACACCAUAACAAAUCACUACUGUAAUUUAUCAUGAAGACAAUGGUUGCUAAGAUACGCCGCUUUUUGAAAAAACAAAAAGAAAGAGAAGGAAGAUAACCGAACUAAAAAAACAAAAACAAUAACAAUAAUAAUAAUAAUGAAAAAAUAACUUUAACAGAAAACCAAGCAACUUUGUUUUCCUGUCAAUUUUGUUCGGUUCAAUGAGAAGAAAUGCGGGUUGUUUUGUAAAGUGAGAGCCGGAUGUUACGAAUGGGCUGCGUGUACGUAAGAGGAAAAGUACUGCUGCUGAACCGACUACAAGUGCAUGAUAGGUACUCGAUUUAUGGACCCUCGGAACGAAUGCGAUGUCCAGUUCACAUCGGGCAGAAUCUGAAUGAAGCAAUUUAGGCCCGGCGGCACUUUGUCCUUUUUCUGUUACUUCGCAACCAACUACCCCCGUUUCUUACACUGGCUGGCACAGGCCACAACAUUUUUUUAUCGACCCUGGAAAGAUGAAAGCGAAAACCAAACCAGCCGGAUAUGAAACUCACAAACUAAAAUGAUAGGCAUUACUUCGUUUUGGUGCGUUUUCUUUAUCUACCUGUGUUUUUUAUAUCUGUCGAUCUAUUUCUUUCUAUAUUUUCUGAUGCAUACCAUUAAGUAAAUGGUUGAGGACUCGAACGUAGAAUACGUAAGUCCAUAAUUGGGAAGUAUUGACCGUACUACCAUCCCACCACAUCGAUCACCUACCUAGUCAUUUUUUUCUUUCGCAAAAAUAAUUCCAAAAGCAACCGGAAACCACUCUACUUUAAGAAAAUAAAGAACCUGGAUUAAAAAACGGAAAAAACUAAAACUAAAACUGAAAUAAAAGACAAAAAACAACGAACAAAAUUCAGCAACAA